rnacentral:lncRNA from 1 species
CUGUUGGUUGUCUCAUCGGUUCAUUGGUAGUAUUGGUGGUUUGUUCACACAAUUUUUGUGCCUUAAAUCAAUUACUUCCUGAGUAACAAUUUUGUACUUCAUAUAUUUCAUUCGUUAUUGUGUUCAUCUGUCGUCAUUCACAUCUAAAAUGACUGAUGAAGGUGUAAAUCCUCUUCCUGUACCUGCUAGUUUUGUUCCUGACCCGUCGAAUCCAUUAUUUCUUAUGUCUUCUGAUGUGCCUGGGGUUUCUCUAGUUACCAACCAAUUUUCAGGUGUUGGUUUUGGGGGUUGGAGAAGGAG